UACGUAGGGUCCGAGCGUUGUCCGGAAUUAUUGGGCGUAAAGGGCUCGUAGGCGGUCUGUUGCGUCGGGAGUGAAAUCUUACAGCUUAACUGUGAACUUGCUUUCGAUACGGGCAGACUUGAGGCAUUCAGGGGAGAACGGAAUUCCUGGUGUAGCGGUGAAAUGCGUAGAUAUCAGGAGGAACACCUGUGGUGUAGACAGCUUACUGGACCAUUUCUGACGCUGAGACACGAAAGCGUGGGUAGCAAACAGG
rnacentral:rRNA from 1 species